AAUCAACGCUGGCGGCGUGCCUCAGACAUGCAAGUCGAACGCGAAAGGUUCCUUCGGGAACCGAGUAGAGUGGCGCACGGGUGAGUAACACGUAGGUAAUUUGCCUUUGGGUGGGGAAUAACAGCCGGAAACGGCUGCUAAUACCGCAUAAUGCAGCGGCUCGACAUCGAGACAGUUGUUAAAGCGGGGGAUCGCAAGACCUCGCGCCUAAAGAGAAGCCUGCGGCAGAUUAGCUAGUUGGUAGGGUAAUGGCCUACCAAGGCGACGAUCUGUAACCGGCCUGAGAGGGCGGUCGGUCACACUGACACUGACAUACGGGUCAGACUCCUACGGGAGGCAGCAGUCGGGAAUUUUGGGCAAUGGGCGAAAGCCUGACCCAGCAACGCCGCGUGAAGGAUGAAAUCCCUCGGAUGUAAACUUCGCAAGAA
rnacentral:rRNA from 1 species